GUAGUUGAUGACAGUUUUUUUCCCCGUCAGAGCGACAGUGUUGAUUUCUCACUGUUCAAGCCAGGUCGUGUCUGAUGCACCAGCGGGAAGCGCCGCUGUGUCCCGUCCGCUCGGUGCCCCGGCAUUAACUGUUCCCUUCGGCUUCGCUCCUAGGGCGCUGCAAAGGCAGAGGGUGCGGAGCCUCUCGCAGACCUGGUGCGGCGGGGUCAGGAGAGUGAUGGGGGCAGCUGCCUGGUUUGUUCCGCCUUGCCCGAGCCUCUGGCAGGUGGGAAUAGGUGCUGCAAAGGUGGAGGGGGUGUUGAGCCUCUGGGGAACCUGAUGUGAUGGCUGUUACUGUCAGUGAUGAACUACAUGAUGAGGGCAGUUGCCUGGUUUGUACCACCAUGCCUGAACCUCCAGCAAGUAAUGAUGGGUGCUGCAAAGGCAGAGGGGGUAUUGAGCAUUUGGGAGAUUGGAUGUGAUGCUUGUAGCUGACAGUGAUAAAUGGUAUGAUUAGGGCAUUUGCCUGCUCUGCUCCACCAUAUGUGCCCCCCUUGCAGAGGAAAUGGUUGAGGUUUGUCAGAAGUUGUCCUGCAACCUGCUGUGGUAUCAGUGUACUAGCAGAAAAGUGUCUUCUACUGAUGUCCCUCUUCGUGCUGCUACCUGUGAUCCUUGUCUAAGCUACAGCAUCCACAUCACCCUGCAACAGAUCUGGUCUUUUCUCACAGCUAGCAGGAGUGAUAAAUGGAUGUCUGGCUAAUUAACAGACAGAAGGAGUUUGUAUUUUUCUUUCCCUUGAUAUGAGGCAUUUAACUAUGAUGGUUUUGGGAAUUUGCUGCAUACUUAAUGUAGUUGAAUGCUUUUGUCUGUAAGGCCUGCAUUAACCACCUGAAAACUAAUGUUGUCCCACUACAGUCAUUAAAAGUAAGGAAGCUGUUCAUCAAGAGACCAGUUGCCAAGUAUGUGACAAAUGUCAUCCAAAAAUCUUCAAUGUAUCACUGCCAGUCUGUGAAGUGGGGAGGGGGCAUCCUGGAUGCUGCAGUGCAGUGUGCAUUUUUAUACUGUUAAGAGCUUCUUUUUAAUAAAAUCU